rnacentral:rRNA from 1 species
UGGGGAAUUUUGGACAAUGGGCGAAAGCCUGAUCCAGCAAUGCCGCGUGUGUGAAGAAGGCCUUCGGGUUGUAAAGCACUUUUGUCCGGAAAGAAAUCCUUGGCUCUAAUACAGUCGGGGGAUGACGGUACCGGAAGAAUAAGCACCGGCUAACUACGUGCCAGCAGCCGCGGUAAUACGUAGGGUGCAAGCGUUAAUCGGAAUUACUGGGCGUAAAGCGUGCGCAGGCGGUUUGCUAAGACCGAUGUGAAAUCCCCGGGCUCAACCUGGGAACUGCAUUUGUGACUGGCGGGCUAGAGUAUGGCAGAGGGGGGUAGAAUUCCACGUGUAGCAGUGAAAUGCGUAGAGAUGUGGAGGAAUACCGAUGGCGAAGGCAGCCCCCUGGGCCAAUACUGACGCUCAUGCACGAAAGCGUGGGGAGCAAACAGGAUUAGAUACCCUGGUAGUCCACGCCCUAAACGAUGUCAACUAGUUGUCGGGUCUUCAUUGACUUGGUAACGUAGCUAACGCGUGAAGUUGACCGCCUGGGGAGUACGGUCGCAAGAUUAAAACUCAAAGGAAUUGACGGGGUC